AAGAUCUUUAAUUCCUUUCGUUACUUUGAACUUUUACCUUACAUUCUUAAAGAUUCCAGCACUUACCAACCUUUUUGAUAUCUUUCAAUCCUUCUACAAUUCCCGUCAUUUACUUCUUUAAUAGUUCUAAAUACUGAUUUAAAAUUGUUCUUUUGUUCAAGUCACUCUUUUGCCUUUAGUUUUUAUUUAAUGCUUCGAUUUGACAUU
rnacentral:lncRNA from 1 species